AGUCGAGCGAGUCUGCCUUGAAGAUCGGAGUGCUUGCACUCUGUGAAACAAGAUACAGGCUAGCGGCGGACGGGUGAGUAACACGUGGGUAACCUGCCCAAGAGAUCGGGAUAACACCUGGAAACAGAUGCUAAUACCGGAUAACAACAGAUGAUGCCUAUCAACUGUUUAAAAGAUGGUUCUGCUAUCACUCUUGGAUGGACCUGCGGUGCAUUAGCUAGUUGGUAGGGUAACGGCCUACCAAGGCGAUGAUGCAUAGCCGAGUUGAGAGACUGAUCGGCCACAUUGGGACUGAGACACGGCCCAAACUCCUACGGGAGGCAGCAGUAGGGAAUCUUCCACAAUGGACGCAAGUCUGAUGGAGCAACGCCGCGUGAGUGAAGAAGGGCUUCGGCUCGUAAAGCUCUGUUGUUGGUGAAGAAGGACAGGGGUAGUAACUGACCUUUGUUUGACGGUAAUCAAUUAGAAAGUCACGGCUAACUACGUGCCAGCAGCCGCGGUAAUACGUAGGUGGCAAGCGUUGUCCGGAUUUAUUGGGCGUAAAGCGAGUGCAGGCGGCUCGAUAAGUCUGAUGUGAAAGCCUUCGGCUCAACCGGAGAAUUGCAUCAGAAACUGUCGAGCUUGAGUACAGAAGAGGAGAGUGGAACUCCAUGCGUAGCGGUGAAAUGCGUAGAUAUAUGGAAGAACACCGGUGGCGAAGGCGGCUCUCUGGUCUGUUACUGACGCUGAGGCUCGAAAGCAUGGGUAGCGAACAGGAUUAGAUACCCUGGUAGUCCAUGCCGUANACGAUGAGUGCUAAGUGUUGGGAGGUUUCCGCCUCUCAGUGCUGCAGCUAACGCAUUAAGCACUCCG
rnacentral:rRNA from 1 species